rnacentral:rRNA from 1 species
CAGGCCUAACACAUGCAAGUCGAACGAAGGCUUCGGCCUUAGUGGCGCACGGGUGCGUAACGCGUGGGAAUCUGCCCUUGGGUUCGGAAUAACCGUUGGAAACGACGGCUAAUACCGGAUGAUGACGUAAGUCCAAAGAUUUAUCGCCCUGGGAUGAGCCCGCGUAGGAUUAGCUAGUUGGUGGGGUAAAGGCCUACCAAGGCGACGAUCCUUAGCUGGUCUGAGAGGAUGAUCAGCCACACUGGGACUGAGACACGGCCCAGACUCCUACGGGAGGCAGCAGUGGGGAAUAUUGGACAAUGGGCGAAAGCCUGAUCCAGCAAUGCCGCGUGAGUGAUGAAGGCCUUAGGGUUGUAAAGCUCUUUUACCCGGGAAGAUAAUGACUGGA